GUGGGGAAUAUUGGACAAUGGGCGAAAGCCUGAUCCAGCCAUGCCGCGUGUGUGAAGAAGGUCUUCGGAUUGUAAAGCACUUUAAGUUGGGAAGAAGGGCAGUAAGUUAAUACCUUGCUGUUUUGACGUUACCGACAGAAUAAGCACCGGCUAACUUCGUGCCAGCAGCCGCGGUAAUACGAAGGGUGCAAGCGUUAAUCGGAAUUACUGGGCGUAAAGCGCGCGUAGGUGGUUCAGCAAGUUGGAGGUGAAAUCCCCGGGCUCAACCUGGGAACUGCCUCCAAAACUACUGAGCUAGAGUACGGUAGAGGGUAGUGGAAUUUCCUGUGUAGCGGUGAAAUGCGUAGAUAUAGGAAGGAACACCAGUGGCGAAGGCGACUACCUGGACUGAUACUGACACUGAGGUGCGAAAGCGUGGGGAGCAAACAGGAUUAGAUACCCUUGUAGUCC
rnacentral:rRNA from 1 species